CCUACGGGGGGCUGCAGUGGGGAAUAUUGGACAAUGGGGGCAACCCUGAUCCAGCCAUGCCGCGUGUGUGAAGAAGGCCCUCGGGUUGUAAAGCACUUUCAGUGAGGAAGAACGCCUGGUGGUUAAUACCCAUCAGGAAAGACAUCACUCACAGAAGAAGCACCGGCUAACUCCGUGCCAGCAGCCGCGGUAAUACGGAGGGUGCGAGCGUUAAUCGGAAUUACUGGGCGUAAAGCGCGCGUAGGUGGCUUGAUAAGCCGGUUGUGAAAGCCCCGGGCUCAACCUGGGAACGGCAUCCGGAACUGUCAAGCUAGAGUGCAGGAGAGGAAGGUAGAAUUCCCGGUGUAGCGGUGAAAUGCGUAGAGAUCGGGAGGAAUACCAGUGGCGAAGGCGGCCUUCUGGACUUACACUGACACUGAGGUGCGAAAGCGUGGGUAGCAAACAGGAUUAGAUACCCGAGUAGUC
rnacentral:rRNA from 1 species